ACUCCACUGAGAAAGAGGCAGCUUGAUGCCCCAAGAAGCUGUGUUUAUUAAAUUAUGGUUAAUGAAUACUACAGAGAAUAUAAACUAUAAACACACAACAGAAAAUGGCAGACAUGUUGAACUGCAAGAUUCCACUCCUGACGCCAGAAUUUGUCAAGAGGACCGCAUUGUUGUUUCUCACUGAGGCAUAGGACUGACUGCGGGCCAUUGUUUCUCCAGCUCAAGUGGGCCUGUCUGGUUCGUGUUGGAAGAAUAGGGGCGACAUGCGUGAGUUCCCAAGUAUAAAGGAACUACCGGUUCUAGAAAGACACGGGAGUUUAGCCACUAAUGCAGAGUAAAUAAACAUUUUUCACCACCUCUUGCUCCCUGUGAUUUUUUUUUUUAAAGGUCAAGAGCUGCCAUUACAGUAUUUUAAAAGCUUCAAAUUAUGUUUAAAGCACGUAUCACUAAACUCACAGAAACCUUAUCAGAAUUUGGGAACCCACUGUGAUUGUUUGGUCCUUGAGUUUUAUCAUCACUGGAAGGCAGACUGUAAAAGGAAUGCAGAUGCCCUGUCGCUUCUAAUAUCCUGCAAUUUGCACAAAGUGAAUGUGGCUCAAGCCCUUCCACAUUUCCCUCAAAAUACUGCAAGUAUGGAGACUGGUCAGUUUCAAAUCUUCCUAAGGUCCAUGUUGCAGGUCACACAUUCUAGACAGAUAAGAGUAAGCCUUUGGGAACCUUUCAUGAUGAGCAUGUUCAAAAUGCAAAGAACGGGUCAUGUUCCUGGAAAAUCUCCAACUGUGUGUGCGAAAGAGAGAGUAAAAGGCAGAGGGAGAUUUCU
ensembl:lncRNA